UAAAGUCUUCAGGGCAGGGUUAAUUUCCCGACCGGCGGUAAAGUCCGCGAGCUCGUUAGAGUUGAUUUGGUGCAAUUCCAAAACCGACAGUAAAGUCUGGAUGGAAGAAGAUAAGC
rfam:Lachnobacterium bovis DSM 14045 genome assembly, contig: IE72DRAFT_scaffold00005.5